rnacentral:siRNA from 1 species
GAUCGAGUGGUGUUAGAAGAUACU